rnacentral:rRNA from 1 species
AUGAACGCUGGCGGCGUGCCUAAUACAUGCAAGUCGAGCGAACAGAUGAGGAGCUUGCUCCUCUGACGUUAGCGGCGGACGGGUGAGUAACACGUGGAUAACCUACCUAUAAGACUGGGAUAACUUCGGGAAACCGGAGCUAAUACCGGAUAAUAUAUUGAACCGCAUGGUUCAAUAGUGGAAGACGGUUUUGCUGUCACUUAUAGAUGGAUCCGCGCCGCAUUAGCUAGUUGGUAAGGUAACGGCUUACCAAGGCAACGAUGCGUAGCCGACCUGAGAGGGUGAUCGGCCACACUGGAACUGAGACACGGUCCAGACUCCUACGGGAGGCAGCAGUAGGGAAUCUUCCGCAAUGGGCGAAAGCCUGACGGAGCAACGCCGCGUGAGUGAUGAAGGUCUUCGGAUCGUAAAACUCUGUUAUUAGGGAAGAACAAAUGUGUAAGUAACUAUGCACGUCUUGACGGUACCUAAUCAGAAAGCCACGGCUAACUACGUG